UGGGGGGGUGCCUAAUACAUGCAAGUCGAGCGAAUGACGAGAAGCUUGCUUCUCUGAUUUAGCGGCGGACGGGUGAGUAACACGUGGGCAACCUGCCCUACAGAUCGGGAUAACUCAGGGAAACCUGGGCUAAUACCGGAUAAUCCUUCGAAUCACAUGUUUUGAAGUUGAAAGGCGCUUCGGCGUCACUGUAGGAUGGGCCCGCGGUGCAUUAGCUAGUUGGUGGGGUAACGGCCUACCAAGGCAACGAUGCAUAGCCGACCUGAGAGGGUGAUCGGCCACAUUGGGACUGAGACACGGUCCAGACUCCUACGGG
rnacentral:rRNA from 1 species